rnacentral:rRNA from 1 species
UCUGUUUGAUCCUGGCUCAGGAUGAACGCUGGCGGCGUGCCUAAUACAUGCAAGUCGAGCGAACAGAUAAGGAGCUUGCUCCUUUGACGUUAGCGGCGGACGGGUGAGUAACACGUGGAUAACCUACCUAUAAGACUGGGAUAACUUCGGGAAACCGGAGCUAAUACCGGAUAACAUAUUGAACCGCAUGGUUCAAUAGUGAAAGGCGGCUUUGCUGUCACUUAUAGAUGGAUCCGCGCCGUAUUAGCUAGUUGGUAAGGUAACGGCUUACCAAGGCAACGAUACGUAGCCGACCUGAGAGGGUGAUCGGCCACACUGGAACUGAGACACGGUCCAGACUCCUACGGGAGGCAGCAGUAGGGAAUCUUCCGCAAUGGGCGAAAGCCUGACGGAGCAACGCCGCGUGAGUGAUGAAGGUCUUCGGAUCGUAAAACUCUGUUAUCAGGGAAGAACAAAUGUGUAAGUAACUGUGCACAUCUUGACGGUACCUGAUCAGAAAGCCACGGCUAACUACGUGCCAGCAGCCGCGGUAAUACGUAGGUGGCAAGCGUUGUCCGGAUUUAUUGGGCGUAAAGCGAGCGCAGGCGGAAUGAUAAGUCUGAUGUGAAAGCCCACGGCUCAACCGUGGAACUGCAUCGGAAACUGUCAUUCUUGAGUGCAGAAGAGGAGAGUGGAAUUCCAUGUGUAGCGGUGGAAUGCGUAGAUAUAUGGAAGAACACCAGUGGCGAAGGCGGCUCUCUGGUCUGCAACUGACGCUGAGGCUCGAAAGCAUGGGUAGCGAACAGGAUUAGAUACCCUGGUAGUCCAUGCCGUAAACGAUGAGCGCUAGGUGUUGGGGACUUUCCGGUCCUCAGUGCCGCAGCAAACGCAUUAAGCGCUCCGCCUGGGGAGUACGACCGCAAGGUUGAAACUCAAAGGAAUUGACGGGGGCC